CUAAAGUUAAAAAUAGGGGUUGCAUUGUGUGUAUAAGGUGCUGUAGUUGUAUUGAAGGACAAGCUUGCAGUGCUGGAUACAGAGAGCUAGUCUCUGUAUUCAUCGUUCAGAGGCUUGCAGUGUCGCGGCUCGCUGUGCCACUGCAUUGUUAUCUCUCUGACUGUAGUUAUGGCAUAAUAUGCAAACUAACUUAAUUUGCAAUAAACAAAUUGAAUUAGCAAU